GGAAAUGGCAAGACCCCAGAAAUGGACAGAUAGAAGGAAAGACGGCUGCUAAGCAGACAUUAUGCUACACAGAGUCCAGGCCAGCCCAUGUCGCAGAGCGGUUACUUACAUUAAGAAAGGAUUCUGUGUCAAGUGUUUGAGUUAAUUUCUACCUCUUAGGAUCGAGGGAAGUAGGGUUUAAUAUUUCCAUGUAGGGAGAGGAACACCCAGGCUCAGGGAAGUAACUGACCUACUCUCGCGUGGUUCCAGAGGUGGAUUUUCGGACACCAAAGUCGUUCUCCCACCCUGAAGGUCCCAUUCAAGCCAGAGCCGGAGUGUAAGGUCAUGGAUUCUCCCACUCGCUUGCCCUAGGGGUUAAAUUGUACACUGCCCCUGUUAAGGCAUAUCCAGGACUUUAAAGGUCUCCCUGUUGGCCAACACUAACCUGGGAUGGUGAAGUCAGGAUAAUGAAUUCCCUUCACUUACCCUUCAGAAGCACGUUUUAUUCAGCAGUUUCAGAAGUGAAUCCCACUGAACCUUACUGGUUGGAGAAUUCUAUUGUUUCAAAACUUCUCUAAAGAGCAUAGAGAAGGAGAAACUCUUCUAUAUUAUUCCGGUAAUUUGUAUAUCAAUGAUAACCAGAUACAAUCACCAUAAUCUAAGGAAAUCUCAGGAGUGGCUUCUGGAAGGUGAUUUGAUCAAGGUGGCUUAUACUAUUACUAAUGAAUUCAGCAACUGAGUGGGCAGAUGGGAGCUGGUCACUGACUGAGAAGACUUUAUCCCCCCCACCCCUCCCCAGAUCCUCCCUCCUUUCUCUGCUUUCUGGCUCCCAUGAUGUG
rnacentral:lncRNA from 1 species